AUUGAACGCUGGCGGCAGGCCUAACACACGCAAGUCGAGCGAGAGGCGGACGGGUGAGUAAUGUAUGGGGAACUGCCUGAUAGAGGGGGAUAACUACUGGAAACGGUGGCUAAUACCGCAUACUAUCGGAUGUACCCAGAUGGGAUUAGCUAGUCGGUGGGGUAAAGGCUCACCUAGGCGACGAUCUCUAGCUGGUCUGAGAGGAUGAUCAGCCACACUGGGACGGAGACACGGCCCAGACUCCUACGGGAGGCAGCAGUGGGGAAUAUUGCACAAUGGGCGCAAGCCUGAUGCAGCCAUGCCGCGUGUAUGAAGAAGGCCUUCGGGUUGUAAAGUACUUGCAGCGGGGAGGCGUUACCCGCAGAAGAAGCACCGGCUAACUCCGUGCCAGCCGCCGCGGUAAUUC
rnacentral:rRNA from 1 species